GGGCGAGGGGAGAGGUGGUGGCUGCAGAACACGUGCUCUGUUCAUGCCAUAUGUCUGCUGACCAUGGCCUUUCGAAGCUC
rfam:Sus scrofa breed Duroc isolate TJ Tabasco Contig1914_1, whole genome shotgun sequence.